ensembl:lncRNA
GUGGGACUUCCGGUCUCUAUAGAGCCCUAAGGAUAUGAAUUCGGCCCGCAGCCUUCGCUUCAAAUGGGUUCCUCUCCGUUUGAGCCACCAGAUGAGAGUGCAGCCCAGCCGGCAUGUGGAUUACAGCCUGCUUCUAAAACAGGAUUUGGCAGGAGUGGUGGUGCAUGCCUGUGAUUCCAGCACUCAGAAAGCUGAGGCAGGAGGAUCUCCAUGAGUUUGAGGCCAGCUGGAGUAUGUACUGGAAGGAAAGCUGGACCUGCUUUUGUGUUCAAGACACUCAACGCCCAGCUCUCAUGUACCUCCUCCUCAAGGCUGUCCUCAGUUUGCUUGUUGGUUUGUGGGGUGUGUUUUGUUUUUUGCUUUGUUUUGAAACAAGGUCUUGCUGUGCAGUUCAGGCUGGUCUUGAACUCACUACAUAGCUCAAGCUGCCCCCAAACUUGAGAUAAUCCUUCUGCCUCAGCCUCCCCAGUUCUAGGAUUAUAGGUGUGCACCAGGCCAAGCUAGUAGUGAUGUAAUUAUGAUAAAAAUAGAUCCAGUUCUGUCCUCAUGGAGUUCACUGACUCUUGAGGAGAAAGAUAUAAAAAUCAUAUAAAUAUGUAUUUGUGGAUUGAUUGAAAACAUAUAUGUACCUGUAUUACUGUCCC